UCCUGCACUGGACCGAGGGUGCGGGCUGCCUGCGCCCUGGUGCUGGAUGGUGCGGGGAGAGCAGCUGCUGAGGGCAUUUCCCCUGUUUGGAGGGUCCACCCCUGUCUCGUCCACAACCUGAGCGUCCUCGCCUG
rnacentral:snoRNA from 1 species